AGAGUCUACUGACUUUUUAAACAUAAAGAAAAUAUACAUACCUGUGAUGUAUGGAAAUUACCAAUACUGUUCUUUUGGAAAUGUGGAACAUUAACCUAGGCAUUAAUCUUUAGAGAAUUUCCCUGGUAAGGGAGUCCAGAUUUAUCAGAACCUCCUUGCUGGUGAGUAAGUGUUCCUUAUACCUAUUCCUCCUACCUGAAAUAUACUUUUUCCUUCUCUAGGUGCUCCAACUGACCUUUGGUGUGGCACUAAAUGUCCUAUGGACAGUAGUUAUCUCCAAUUUUUCUCAUUAUGAACUUUCUACGAUACAGUUGCAUCCUGUAUUGCCCUAUGUGUACCUUCUGGUGCCACUCAUCUACAUCACAUCAGGAAUUCUGACCAUUGUGACUGAAAAGACAGAGAGCACCAAUGGGAUUCUCACCUGCAUGUAUACAAAUUUUGUGAGCUGUCUGGCUGCAGUGGCCUUAACAAUAAUGCAUGGUGCCAGUGUGUUUGCAUUGGCAGGGACGAUGAGUAUAUUCGCUGCAGAUAUCACAUCUAUGCUGAGACUGCGCCUUUGAGAACACAGUCAGAGAGAGAUGACAUUUACAUGGAACGGGUGGAGCAUUUUUCCCACAGUUUUUCCAUGAGUAAAUGUGACUGAAAGUGUGCCUGUGCCCGAAACAUCUCUUCAGAGUUCUUGCAUUUUUCUCUCCCUCAUGGCUCUGUGGUUGUGAAGUUCAUCCUCACACUGUUUGAGUGCAUCUUCCCUGGGAUUCUGCUUCUAAUUUCCAGCUAGGAAGAGUUAUGAAAAUUUCCCUGAAUGCUCAGCUGAUGACUGCAGGAGCCUGAACUCUCCACAUCCGCGUACGAUGGACGUUGAGAUGGACUGGUGUCCCUCCGCAUUGCGUGGUUUGACAAAAGGCCUUCAUGUGCUCUCCUGGUCUUUCCCAUUGCAUCGUCCAGGAGAUCCCCGUCUAUCUAGUACAGAGGAGCUGAAGCCUUUCAAGAAAAAUUAUUGUCAUUGAUUUGUCGCUGUUGACUUCUCUGUGGUUCCUACUCUACCCCCAGUAUGAACACCUUUGAGGACAGGGACAGACACUCCCGAGGUCACACAUCCUGCUUACGUAAAACAGAAACAUAUCAGGAAGCUCGUAGGUGUUGCAGGACUCAGGUCUGUCCCUGAGAGUGUAAUUCAGGACUCAUGAUUCAUAUAAAUUCUUGGGAACACCAUUCAUUGUAAUUGUUGAAAUUAUACUACACAAUGUUUUAACCAAGCGUGGUGGCAUAUGCCUGUGAUUACACCACUCUGGAGGCUGAGUCAGGAGGAUCUCAAGUUUCAGCCCAGCUUAGGUAAUUUAAGCAUUUAGGAAUAAUGAGUAUCAAAAUUUGUUUUAAAAAAUGCUUGAAAGGAGUGAAUACAUAGUUCAGUUGAAGGCCCUGUGUCCAAUACCCAAUACGACAAAAAGACAAAGUCAAUCACAGAGUACCACAAUAAAGUAUGAUCAGUGGUAAAGCACUGAGGUCCAUAUAUACAGUGAAAUGAUUACUACUACUAAGCAAAUCCAUAUCCUUUCCCCCACAUUUUUUUUUUAAACACCAGAGCAUCUGAAGUCAAAUCUUCUGGGAAAUUUCCAGCUUGUAGUGCCACAUUGCCAACUCUAGUUCCCAUGCUCAGGUUUCUAGACUAUGAACCCUGAAAAUUUUCACCUUUGCAUCAUUUCAGAUACAUCUGAACUACACAUCUUUGGAGACCAUCAUUCUCCUCUCCAUUUCUGUUUUUAUCUUUAGGAUCCACAUAUACAUGAAGUCACACAGUGUCUGUCUGUGUGUACCAUCUCACUCGGCAUGAUGUUUACCACUUUCAUCCAAGCUG